rnacentral:rRNA from 1 species
GGGUUGUGAGGUUAAGCGACUAAGCGUACACGGUGGAUGCCCUGGCAGUCAGAGGCGAUGAAGGACGUGCUAAUCUGCGAUAAGCGUCGGUAAGGUGAUAUGAACCGUUAUAACCGGCGAUUUCCGAAUGGGGAAACCCAGUGUGUUUCGACACACUAUCAUUAACUGAAUCCAUAGGUUAAUGAGGCGAACCGGGGGAACUGAAACAUCUAAGUACCCCGAGGAAAAGAAAUCAACCGAGAUUCCCCCAGUAGCGGCGAGCGAACGGGGAGCAGCCCAGAGCCUGAAUCAGUGUGUGUGUUAGUGGAAGCGUCUGGAAAGGCGCGCGAUACAGGGUGACAGCCCCGUACACAAAAAUGCACAUGCUGUGAGCUCGAUGAGUAGGGCGGGACACGUGGUAUCCUGUCUGAAUAUGGGGGGACCAUCCUCCAAGGCUAAAUACUCCUGACUGACCGAUAGUGAACCAGUACCGUGAGGGAAAGGCGAAAAGAACCCCGGCGAGGGGAGUGAAAAAGAACCUGAAACCGUGUACGUACAAGCAGUGGGAGCACGCUUAGGCGUGUGACUGCGUACCUUUUGUAUAAUGGGUCAGCGACUUAUAUUCUGUAGCAAGGUUAACCGAAUAGGGGAGCCGAAGGGAAACCGAGUCUUAACUGGGCGUUAAGUUGCAGGGUAUAGACCCGAAACCCGGUGAUCUAGCCAUGGGCAGGUUGAAGGUUGGGUAACACUAACUGGAGGACCGAACCGACUAAUGUUGAAAAAUUAGCGGAUGACUUGUGGCUGGGGGUGAAAGGCCAAUCAAACCGGGAGAUAGCUGGUUCUCCCCGAAAGCUAUUUAGGUAGCGCCUCGUGAAUUCAUCUCCGGGGGUAGAGCACUGUUUCGGCAAGGGGGUCAUCCCGACUUACCAACCCGAUGCAAACUGCGAAUACCGGAGAAUGUUAUCACGGGAGACACACGGCGGGUGCUAACGUCCGUCGUGAAGAGGGAAACAACCCAGACCGCCAGCUAAGGUCCCAAAGUCAUGGUUAAGUGGGAAACGAUGUGGGAAGGCCCAGACAGCCAGGAUGUUGGCUUAGAAGCAGCCAUCAUUUAAAGAAAGCGUAAUAGCUCACUGGUCGAGUCGGCCUGCGCGGAAGAUGUAACGGGGCUAAACCAUGCACCGAAGCUGCGGCAGCGACGCUGAUGCGUUGUUGGGUAGGGGAGCGUUCUGUAAGCCUGCGAAGGUGUGCUGUGAGGCAUGCUGGAGGUAUCAGAAGUGCGAAUGCUGACAUAAGUAACGAUAAAGCGGGUGAAAAGCCCGCUCGC